rnacentral:lncRNA from 1 species
AGUAAACAGGAUCUAACAACUGAACUCACGUGCCCUCGGCACAAUCUGAUGCAAAAACAGCAAUCUGGGUUCACCGUCAACCUCAACGGCACCCGACAAUUCUGAACAGCCUAAACACUGCUGUAAAAAUACACUCGGCACCUCAACACGAGCGUAAAUAUAUUCUACACUAUUCUGGGUAUCCACCGUCCACAAACUGCGGUGAUACAAUCAAACUACGGCUCCUAAAGCUAAAUCUGAUAGUUUGUUCAAAUGGCGGUGUAGAAACGUCAGUUUUCUCCUAA